rnacentral:rRNA from 1 species
AACGAACGCUGGCGGCAGGCUUAACACAUGCAAGUCGAACGCAUCCUUCGGGGUGAGUGGCAGACGGGUGAGUAACGCGUGGGAACGGGCCCUUCAGUUCGGGAUAACCCAGGGAAACUUGGGCUAAUACCGGAUAUGUGCGAGAGCAGAAAGAUUUAUCGCUGAAGGAUCGGCACGCGUCUGAUUAGCUAGUUGGUGGGGUAAUGGCCCACCAAGGCGACGAUCAAUAGCUGGUCUGAGAGGAUUAUCAGCCACAUUGGGACCGAGACACGGCCCAAACUCCUACGGGAGGCAGCAGUGGGGAAUAUUGGACAAUGGGCGCAAGCCUGAUCCAGCCAUGCCGCGUGAGUGAUGAAGGCCUUAGGGUUGUAAAGCUCUUUCGUCCGGGAUGAUAAUGACGGUACCGGAAGAAGAAGCCCCGGCUAACUUCGUGCCAGCAGCCGCGGUAA